rnacentral:rRNA from 2 species
AAAACUCAAAGGAAUUGACGGGGGCCCGCACAAGCGGCGGAGCAUGCGGAUUAAUUCGAUGCAACGCGAAGAACCUUACCAAGGCUUGACAUGAACCGGUAAUACCUGGAAACAGGUGCCCCGCUUGCGGUCGGUUUACAGGUGGUGCAUGGUUGUCGUCAGCUCGUGUCGUGAGAUGUUGGGUUAAGUCCCGCAACGAGCGCAACCCUCGUUCUAUGUUGCCAGCGCGUUAUGGCGGGGACUCAUAGGAGACUGCCGGGGUCAACUCGGAGGAAGGUGGGGACGACGUCAAAUCAUCAUGCCCCUUAUGUCUUGGGCUUCACGCAUGCUACAAUGGCCGGUACAAAGGGUUGCGAUACUGUGAGGUGGAGCUAAUCCCAAAAAGCCGGUCUCAGUUCGGAUUGGGGUCUGCAACUCGACCCCAUGAAGUCGGAGUCGCUAGUAAUCGCAGAUCAGCAACGCUGCGGUGAAUACGUUCCCGGGCCUUGUACACACCGCCCGUCAAGUCACGAAAGUUGGUAACACCCGAAGCCGGUGGCCUAACCCUUGUGGGGGGAGCCGUCGAAGGUGGGACCGGCGAUUGGGACUAAGUCGUAACAAGGUAGCCGUACCGGAAGGUGCGGCUGGAUCACCUCCU